rnacentral:rRNA from 1 species
UACGUAGGGGGCAAGCGUUAUCCGGAUUUACUGGGUGUAAAGGGAGCGUAGACGGUCCUGCAAACCAGAUGUGAAAGCCCGGGGCUCAACCCCGGGACUGCAUUUGGAACUGUAAGGCUAGAGUGUCGGAGAGGCAGGCGGAAUUCCUAGUGUAGCGGUGAAAUGCGUAGAUAUUAGGAGGAACACCAGUGGCGAAGGCGGCCUGCUGGACGAUGACUGACGUUGAGGCUCGAAAGCGUGGGGAGCAAACAGG